CCUACGGGGUGCUGCAGUGGGGAAUAUUGGACAAUGGGCGAAAGCCUGAUCCAGCCAUGCCGCGUGUGUGAAGAAGGCCUUCGGGUUGUAAAGCACUUUCAGUGGGGAAGAAAGCCUUGGGGCUAAUACCCUCGAGGAAGGACAUCACCCACAGAAGAAGCACCGGCUAACUCCGUGCCAGCAGCCGCGGUAAUACGGAGGGUGCGAGCGUUAAUCGGAAUUACUGGGCGUAAAGCGCGCGUAGGCGGUCUGAUAAGCCGGUUGUGAAAGCCCCGGGCUCAACCUGGGAACGGCAUCCGGAACUGUCAGGCUAGAGUGCAGGAGAGGAAGGUAGAAUUCCCGGUGUAGCGGUGAAAUGCGUAGAGAUCGGGAGGAAUACCAGUGGCGAAGGCGGCCUUCUGGACUGACACUGACGCUGAGGUGCGAAAGCGUGGGUAGCAAACAGGAUUAGAUACCCUGGUAGUC
rnacentral:rRNA from 1 species